UUUGAGGGCCUUCUGGACUCUGGUGUGUACUUUAACCACAUUAAGGGAUCUGAUUAAGAAAGGGGCACUGAGAAGUUUUCAACUGCCCAGAGCUUUCAUGAAGCCUUUACGUGUGGCUUCCCCAGCAGCUUCUGACAGCCUUAAGGAAAAGAUGGUGGCAGCUUCGAUUUCCUUCCUGUUGGCCCAAAAAGGAUGGCCAGAGCGGGCAGAGCUAAUCCAGGUACAGGUGAAGGGGCUGCUUGAGCCAUCAGGAAGCCUCCCCACAGCUCUCUCCCCUCUGCCCAUUGGAGGCUGGGGAGGAAGGGGGACAGCCAGGGAGAAGUCUUUCCUUCCUUCCUUGAGAGGAGGUCAGCUGGUUGUGCUGGCUUUGCUUUCUAAAGGGCUUGCUUCUCAGGUCAAUGGAUACUGCCCUUAGUGCUAGAAUGUGUAUACUGGACUCAUUUCCAGCUCUCUGAUAGGCCAGCAAUGUUGAUCUUCAGUUGGAAUUAGAGGAAGGGGGAUUAGUUUGGGUCAUUUUUGGCUACCCAGCAUCUGAACUCCUCUCCCAAGCUUAGGACACUUAUCACCUCAUGAAUUUUAGUACCCUAAGAAAGAGACCAAAAGGUCAGAUUCUUUCUUCUGUAGUCUCCUUUGGACAUGGACACACAGCGGAACUUGUCCAAUCAGGUGCACCUGCUUCAGAUGGAAUCAGAAGUUACCUGGCACCGGGGCAUCUGGGUGGCUCAGUUGGUUAAGCAUCUGCCUUCGGCUCAGGUCAUGAUCCCAGGGUCCUAAUAUCCGGCCCUGUGGUGGGCUCCCUGCUCACCAGGGAGUCUGCUUCCCCCCUCCCUCCAUUGCUCAUGCACACUUGCUCUCUCUCAAAUAAAUAAAUAAAAUCUUAAAAAGAAGAAGGAGGA
rnacentral:lncRNA from 1 species